rnacentral:rRNA from 1 species
GAUGAACGCUAGCGGCAGGCCUAAUACAUGCAAGCCGGACGGCAAGUUGAGUAGCAAUACUUGACCUAGAGUGGCGUAAGGGUGCGUAACACGUAUGCAAUCUGCCCACAGCCGGGAGAUAGCCCUCCGAAAGGAGGAUUAAUAUCCCAUAGGAAGAUGAGAUGGCAUCAUUUUAUUUUUAAACUACGGGGCUGUGGAUGAGCAUGCGGUUGAUUAGCUAGUUGGCGGGGUAAAGGCCCACCAAGGCGAUGAUCAAUAGGGGACCUGAGAGGGUGAUCCCCCACACUGGCACUGAGAUACGGGCCAGACUCCUACGGGAGGCAGCAGUAGGGAAUAUUGGACAAUGGGUGUAAGCCUGAUCCAGCCAUGCCGCGUGCAGGGAAGAAGGCCCUUUCUGGGGUUGUAAAAGCCUCUUUUGUCCGGGACGAUGAUGACGGUACCGAAGAAUAAGCCCCGGCUAACUUCGUGCCAGCAGCCGCGGUAAU